AGCUCAGGGAGUGAGUCAGAGUAGGGGUGACGAGUUAAGUUUGCUUGAAUUCACUUCAUUGGGCUCUUUGUUUGCUCCAGAAGUGAGGGGACUGAAUGGGACCUGGCUAGAGAGGUGAAUCACAAGCAGAGCAUUGCAGGGCAGGAGCAGCUGUCAGCCGGGGAUGCUAGCGAAGGAAAGCCGGCCACCUCCAGCCCUGAGGGGGUGCACCAGCGAUCCACUUAGGGAGCAGUCAUUCCAGUGCCUGCAAGUGCACUGCAAAUUCUACCAGUGGGGAACACCUGCCCUGCAAUAAACAGGCAACAUGGGACUAACAGGAUGCUGCUGAACUGCCCAUGGCUAACAACACAUAGGCAGCUACGGAGGGCUGCAGAGCUCCACCUAAAAUGGUGACCUAACCCAUCACUGGAGUCACAUAGAGGUCUGGGAAGAGCCACGAGUGAUGCAUGAGGCAGAGGAUGAGGUUCAGUGGCAGUACAGCAUAUGCAAUGCCAAGUAGACAUGGAGCCAGCUGCAGACUAACCUCCUCCCAGCCCUGCAUUUGAUUAUAUAUGUUUGGACCAUGACUAGA